AGGACAUUUGUCAGUCUUGCAAGAUUGGUUAGUUUCGACCGCUCUAGAUCUCAUGGGUCAGUUCCCAGUGCUUGUUCUGCUGCUUGUCCUAGGGUGCACAGCCACAUGUUUCUCUCAAGACGUGGGGGAAUCCAAUAAGGGUAAGUUCUAUAUACUGAGGAACCAGGUAAAAUAUGAUCAAAGUUUUAAAACGAAAUCAGAAACUAUAUCAUAAAAUGAACAUUGCUUCAAGAAUUAUUGCAAACAGCCCUGAUCUUCCUGCUUUUUCUGUGUAUAUUGCAUGUACAGCAAUUGUUUGAUUUGCCAUUGUGAAAUUAGUAUUAUGGAUGGAAAUUACAAGACAUGGCCCUGAGAUUCUGUAUACUAGGACCUCAAACUGUUUAUUUAUUUUGCCACUAAACCGCAGUUAACCUCAGUCUAUUAAUAUAGGAGAAGCAGCAAUGAUAGGAUUUAUUUUGCAAGUGAUUAGUGAUAUUAGUUUAUUUUGGAGUAUUUGAACAAAUACAUUUGCUUUGGUUUUUAAAAGUGGCAGAAACAUUAGAACAUCACUGCUGAACAUCUUGAUAUUUUCAGGGUUAUUCACUAAAGGGUGAAGUGUCAGGAAUUCAAACUGUAUUCAAAGUGAAUUUCAAGGUCAAAGUUACCAAACUGGUAAAAUAAUCAAAGCCACUUAGGCUUCCAGUUUGGCUACUUUGGCCUUAAAUUAAAAAAUUCACCUUGAAUUCCCCAAAAUACUCACUUUAGUUUAAAACAACAGCCAAAACUAAAAAGAAUAAAAUAAAAAAAGAAAGAAAAGAAAAUGCUAGUUCUCCCAAUUCCUUAUACAUCUAUUAUAUAUUUUACUAUUGAUUUAUAAAAUAUUUUACCAGGAAAGAUACAUUGUGAUUUCUCUUGUUUUCAAGUAUGUCCUGGGUACACAAAACAUUGCAUUGAUCUGAUAGGGUAUAAUAAAAUACAAAACCAAUAUUUUUUAUUAUUUUAAUUCUUUAUUUUUGGUGCAAUUUCAGCGGUACAGACAUAAGUAAGGGUGCCACAAUAGCAUAUGUAUGAGGUACAUUCACAUUUCGUUUGUCUCAUAGAUUGGGCCGAGUUGAGCUGUGCACAUUUUAUAUUAGCUAUGUAGUUUUAACGGGGUAUCUGACUGUGCCAGUGGUGAGUGUGAUAUGUAUGUCUAGUGUCAUCCCAGUGGGACUCUUAGGUGGUGUUGGGGCACUGGCACACCAUAUGGCCUCGGUGGUUGCUUAGUUCCUUGCGUGGCUCGAGAUGUGUCAGGUUAGGUAGCGGAGCAAGGUCUUAGCGUUUGCGUCUCGUUUAUGUGAGAGUGCAGUGGUGUUUUGGAGCUCGUGUGUUUGUGCCUUUGCAGGGCUUGGCCUGUCGUGGCAGCAUAUAGGAGUCGUAUGACCUCUUCUUUUGUUUUUUUCCCCCAGCUAGGCCGAUAUUUCUGCGUGAAGGCUCCAAGGUUUACUGUGCCCUAUAACCCCGGGCAUUUGGGGGGGGGAGGGCCCCUGGUCUGGGCGCUAGGCAACCACCUUACCAUCACAGGACUGUGUAAUUAGUUCUAACCAGUAAGGUUAGGGUCAAUGAUAACAGGUUGUGAGUGACUUAGCUUGUCAUCAAAAAAGCAAAACAAAGCAAAACAAACAGCGAAUAAAAAUAACAAUAACAAUAGGCUAGCAAUGUGGCCAAUGCAGGUUUCAGGUUGCGGGUCCCGUGAGCGUGGUGGCUGGUGCCAUGGUGUCGUUGGACAAUCCCAGGGUGGUCAACAGGGCCGGACCAUUCCCAAGUUGGAGAUCUUGUAGUGUUGGUCGCCUUCAGUCAUCCAUAAUGUCCUGGGGGUUGCCCAUUUGUACGUGAGGCCCGCUUCUUGCAGGGUGGUUGUGAUGGGCUGCAUGCUCUUGCGCCAUAAGUCUCUACUCAGGUCCUGGAAGAAGGUGAUUCGGUGUGUUUCAAAUUUGUGUAGUGUUUUCUCUUUAUUGGCUGUCAUCAGGGCUAUCUUAGGGAUUGGCAUCUUAAGAUGAUGUCGCGUGGAGCUGCCUUUGGUGCCUGCUGUGGUUUGGCUAUGUCUGUUGGGGAGGAGUGCGGCCACCAAGCGCCUUAUAAAGUGUGGCAGCUCGUCCAGUGGUACCACUUCUGAUACCCCCCUGAUUUUGAUGUUCUUUCUCCUACCUCUGCCGUCUAGUAUGGCGACUUGUCUGGUGUUUGCUUGUGCAGUUUGUAUUUGGGUGACUGUGUCUUUAAGUGAGGUCUUGGCGUAGGUCUCUCACCUCUUGUUCCGCGGCCUGGGUUCGGGCCGAUACUACUUGUACCUCUGCCGCCAGCCCCUACAGGUCAGCUUGCCACAUGUGCUGUAAAUUCCGUUGAAGACCAGCCAGCAUGGUCUGAAUGUCCUGCUUUGUUGCCGCUGCUGAGUCAUUAGCGGUGUGUAUGAGUGCGCUUCCUGCGUCUGUCAUAGCCAUGCUAUGUGUGGAGUCCCCAUCCUCGGACCUCUCGGGUGAGACCGCCUCGGCGGCUCUGGUCCAUGCAGGCGGAGGGGAUUGCAGCAUGCUGCCUAUGUCCCGGUGCGGCUUGGGAGCGCUCGGAUUUGGUUUGUGUUCGGAGUGUGCACACGCAGUUCUUUUUAGCCGAUGGGCUGUAGGUGUAUUGCUAGUUUUUUGCACUGGUAUAUCAGAGCCACUGUAAUUGGUGACCGCUGUGUUGCGCCGCUAGCUCCGCCCCCCCCAAACAAUAUUAAUACACAAUAUAUACAAAAUUUUACAUAAAACAGGUAGGAAAUAGAUAAUCAACCAUAACACGUGCAUUCUGUUUUGAGAUAUUUAGAGAGGGAUCUCUUAAAGGACUUUAGGCCUGGGUAAGAUUUAAAAGUGUGCGGGAGGUGGUUCCAUAAUUGCAGUGCUCUGUAGGAAAAGGAAGAUCAAUAUAUUUUACUAUAAAUCCUUAUAAAAUGCUAAUGCUAAUGAAUGCCUCAAAUGAUUUAAUGAUGGCUUCUUUCUGCUUUCAGAAUAAAUCUUUUACAAAUCUUUUUAUUGGCCACUAAUAAAAAUGCAAUAUUUUAAGUGUGUUAACAAAUGUUAUUUAUAUAUAUAUAUGCGUGUGUGUGCAUGUGUGACUUUGCUCUAGAUUCUAAGGAAUCAAGAGAAACCAUUGUUGCUAAAUAUGUAUUUCUUUACUUGAGGUGCUUCUCACUAACUAUAUAAGAAGCAUUUCAUUAUAAAGUAUUAUAUGGCAGUGAAUUAGCUUGACUGGAGGCCUAGAGAACUAUGCGGCUUAAUGAUGACGAUGAUGCCAUUAUUAAAAAACAUGGACUGAUAUGAGAUCUUAAUGGUUGAAAGAACCUCAGGCUGAGUGGUGGCCUUUUUUUGUAAUUUUUAUAGGAAAUUUGUUUGGGGAUGAUGUAAUGUCUAAACCAAGUGUGCUGACCAAUCAAUACAUUUUGAUAUCACUUGAUAUCAUACUCAUUAUAUCCUAGAUAGGGGAUCAUCAUUAUUUUUCAUUGCUGAUAAUGUGAUAAAAGCACAGGGGAGAUAUAGUACACCUUAUCUGGGGUGCUGAAAGUUGCCUACUCCUCUUUUAGAUCAGCUAUGUACCUUUUAUCCCUCUCAUCUACCACCUUAUUUCCACACGUUACUAUGACUAAUCAGAUAUGUAAUGUCAUUCUAUGGUGGGUAAAAAUAUAAUUAGUUUCCAUCUUUAUAAAGGCUGUUGGUAAAGCAGUGCCGUGUGAAUGUGUGACCCUUGCAAACCAUAGUUUUCUUUCAUAUUUAUUAGGAAAUUAGUUGGGACAAAAGUCUAUUGCAGUUAGGGCUAUAUGGUAGAUUCCCAGAUGUUGCAAAUAUACAUAUCCAACAAUAUUUAGCCAGCCAUCAAAAGUUGAAGCUGGGGAUGUCCCUAUUGGCCAUCCCUGGUCUAACGAUUGUGGCUUAAAUGUAAUAACAGCUGCACAUACUUUAAAACAAGAUUCGCUAUAAAACUUUUUUUGCAUAAGACUGCUAAUAUUAAUACAAAAAUGUGCCUCUCACAUCAACCACUUUUUUUUAUUUUUUAUAUUAUAUUAUUUCUUGUAGUUCGUCCAUGCAUUGUUUUUUUUUUUUCAAUUUCAGUAAUUAUUUUCCCUUCAAUACAGAUGAGGUUCCAAAGCCAGGCGGAUGCAGCCCGGAAUCCCCACAUCAUGACAAUGAACCCCCUCCAUGCCCAGACCUAUGUGAGGGAAUCGAAAAUUGCACCACGACGAGCUGCACCAUAGACAGUCAUUGUGAUGGCAGCCUGAAAUGCUGUAAGACGAGAUGUGGCAUGGAGUGUGUUCCACCGUAUUUUAGUGAGUCAAACUCUUCAUAAUGUACUAUGAUUGAUAAUAGAUGAUAUUUAUGGCAAAACAAAAGUUAUAAAAACUAAAAUAAAUAGAAAUUGACACAUGUUGUACUGAUAUGUAGAAUUACCUGCUUCAAUAUCCCAAGUUAUUAAUUCCUAGCUCUAUUUACCGUGACCCUAAUUAUUAUACAUGGCGGUACCUCGAUGACACAAGUUUCAUUUAAAUAAAAAUGUGCUUGAUCCAGCCAGUAGGAAGGCAUUUAAAUCAUCAUGGGAACCCUAUUUUGUCUCCUGUUCCAGGGUUUAGAACCAUUAAUCUAGGUCUUAAAGGCAUAUCAACAGAAUAGUCAUGUGUAAGUUUAAUUGUAAAUAAUUCUCUGUGUACACAACUACAACAUGUUAACUCUACAUUGAUACCUAUAACCAAAUAUAUGAUGGCAACAUUUAAAGUGGCAUGUUAUAUGACUUCCUGGUAACAAUGAUCUGUUUCUGCAUUUCACUGUAAGUAUAUAUAUAUAUAUUUUUUUUCUCCUAAAAUCAGGAAACCCCUGUCAAGGCAAUCAUGACUGUCCAUUGGGUCUAAAGUGCUGUAAUGGUGUAUGUGACAGCGACUGUAUCUAUCAACAGAAAAGACAAAGUCUUGUUACUAAAGGAUCACUCAGCGCUGUGAGCGUGAGUAUCGACAUAAACCACAUUUUGAGAAUACUUGUGCUAGCAUCUGUAAACAGGUAGCCCCCCAGCUGUUGUUGAACUAGAGCUCCCAUUAUGUUUUAGUUUGUUGAAUUUACCUGCGCGAUAAUAAAAUAGCUGUGAAUUUACUAGAAUUCUCUGCAAGCCAGCAGUUUACAUUAAUUUAGCCAUACCUUCCAAUAUUUCAAAUCCACAAAGAAACUUUAAUAUUAAAGGUGUGAGUGGGUGUGUGGCCUGGGGUGGUGCUGUUCUGAGAAAUUUUAGGUGACAUAGAACCUAAAAUAGGUUUAUUUAGAAUAAAAACAAUGUAUCUCAUUUACACAAACUGAUUUCUAAACACAUUUUUGGCAGUUUUAAGACACAUUACUGCAUUAUUGCUGUAGCGCUGUUAUACACUCAUACACACCAACAAUGUGGAGCUCCUAGAAAAGAGGGACAUUAGGACAGAAAAGAGGAACAGAAGGAUUUAGACCCAAAAUAGGGAAUAUCUCUCCGACAUAGGCACAUUUUGGGAGGUAUGAUGUGUUUUGGGCAAAUGCAAGUAUUACAAAUUUUAGAAUGCAAAGUUGUAUUUUUAAACAGUGUACUUUGUCUUUAAGAUAUUGCAAACUUCAAGGCUAUGCUACGUAAUAGCAAUAACCUCUUACCUACUUUCAGUGCAUAGUAUGCUGCGUAGUUCUAACUUACGCCAUUUUGUCUUCGCUUAAUGGGUUUUAUAUGUCUAUAUUUAUAUUUAUAUUUAUUAAAAUAUCUACAAAGACAAAACUUUGUUGCUUCCAAGACAAUCCUUAUUUUAUUUUGUAUUCUCAAUUAUUUAUAUGUAUUUUAGAUAGAGGAUCUCUUACUGACUAUAUAAUAUUAUGGCUAAGAUAUCUGUAUGGUUAGCCCUGCUAAGUGCUAUGCUUUAAGACGUUCUAGUGGUAAAUAAGGGAACCGGCUGCGAUUACAAAUGUAGCAGUAGACAAGGUAAGGUCAAAGCCAAAAUGGAUGACAAUUUGGGACAUUAUCAGUCUUGACACACAUAUUGUGAGAGAAUUCCAGGGAGUAAUUCCAUUAUUUAGUUUUUCUUUAAGUAAAAAUUAACUAUAUUUAAGACCAUAACCAUGAUUUCACUUUUUUUAAAUUCAAGGAUGCACUUCCUUAAUUAUUCACUUUCAGGUAGAAAUACAAUUGAUUGCACACUAAAAGGGGAGUGAAUUGAUAGAUGGAACAAAAUGCUAAAAUAAAAAAUGGGUCCACAAAGACAUAUAGCUAUCAAAAUCAGAAUAGAAUAUAAGUAGAUUUAAUCAAUAGUGUGUAAUUCUUCUCUACUCUCUGUUAUUGGUAUAUAGAAUGUGUUAUUUCACUGUUAUGAUAAUCUUAUGUGACAUGAUUUUGUUUUCAUUUUAGAAAAAGAAAGCUAAGUGACCAUAUCACAAGCAAAGCGACUCGAUUUCACCAGAAUCAAUGGAUAAAGUGACCUGUAGCCUAAAAAUAAACAUCUGAUAUGCCUGAGACAAAUUGAAUGAUGUUAAAAAUAAUAAAUAUGUACAAUAUAUUUUGCUUUGUAUUUUCUUUUGGUUGUAUUUGGUUUGGGACAUGUGAUACAUAUUGUAGUUUGUCUUCUUAUGCAUAUAGCAUAAACAUGUUAAUGAUACUAAUAUUACACUAUAGGUAAUUAUGACUUGGUGAUUGUGAUUUUG
rnacentral:lncRNA from 1 species